ACAUGCAAGUCGAACGCUGAAGCCCAGCUUGCUGGGUGGAUGAGUGGCGAACGGGUGAGUAACACGUGAGUAACCUGCCCCCUUCUUUGGGAUAACGCCCGGAAACGGGUGCUAAUACUGGAUAUUCACUGGCCUUCGCAUGGGGGUUGGUGGAAAGGUUUUUUCUGGUGGGGGAUGGGCUCGCGGCCUAUCAGCUUGUUGGUGGGGUGAUGGCCUACCAAGGCUUUGACGGGUAGCCGGCCUGAGAGGGUGACCGGUCACAUUGGGACUGAGAUACGGCCCAGACUCCUACGGGAGGCAGCAGUGGGGAAUAUUGCACAAUGGGCGAAAGCCUGAUGCAGCGACGCCGCGUGAGGGAUGACGGCCUUCGGGUUGUAAACCUCUUUCGCUCAUGGUCAAGCCGCAGCUUUGGGUUGUGGUGAGGGUAGUGGGUAAAGAAGCGCCGGCUAACUACGUGCCAGCAGCCGCGGUAAUACGUAGGGCGCGAGCGUUGUCCGGAAUUAUUGGGCGUAAAGGGCUUGUAGGCGGUUGGUCGCGUCUGCCGUGAAAUCCUCUGGCUUAACUGGGGGCGUGCGGUGGGUACGGGCUGACUUGAGUGCGGUAGGGGAGACUGGAACUCCUGGUGUAGCGGUGGAAUGCGCAGAUAUCAGGAAGAACACCGGUGGCGAAGGCGGGUCUCUGGGCCGUUACUGACGCUGAGGAGCGAAAGCGUGGGGAGCGAACAGGAUUAGAUACCCUGGUAGUCCACGCUGUAAACGUUGGGCACUAGGUGUGGGGGCCACCCGUGGUUUCUGCGCCGUAGCUAACGCUUUAAGUGCCC
rnacentral:rRNA from 1 species